rnacentral:lncRNA from 1 species
GCUAAUUAUCCGGGAUUAAGAAUUGACACGGAGCGACAUGGUCAUUAACCACAUAUUUGCACAGCUUAUUCAUGUUAGUUGGGCUGCUCCAUCUCACUGAGUCUAAUUGGACACGCCCACAAUGCUGCACAACACAUUUACAUCGACCUGGCUGUCAGCAGCCAAUAAAGGACUACAGGAUGUGUUUGGUUCCAAAGGGACUUGGCUCUCGGCAGAAGCUUGUUUGCAGGCACACUGGGUGUCUUGGCUUUCUGGCACUGUGGACUACAGCUUAACUCAGAGCAUACAUUCAAUCAUUUCUCAAACAUUUGUUAGCUCAAGCACUGUACCAGGCACAGCACUGGCCCUAGCAGGGUCUACAAAGAUGAACCAGGCACCAUUUCUGCCACCUCGAGGAGGUUUACCUUCUGCCCUCCAUGAUGUGACCCUGUCUAGCAGGCCCCCUCCUGCCCACCUGGGGCAUGUGUGCCAUCUACCAGCCCACUCCACAUUCUCUGCGCAGGUCUCUGUGCUCUUCCUUCAGCCUGGAAUUCUUCUGUCCACCUGGCUGAAGGAGUAGCACAGAGAUCAGCAAGGAGAAUGGUCUAGUGCGUGGCACACAUAGUACUGAUGGGAAGGGUGUGGCCUGGCAGGCAGGGUCACAUCAUGGAGAUCUAUGAGUGUUCUGUUAGGGUCUGGAAGUUUCUCCUCAGGGCAUGAGGAACCAUGGAAGAGAUUUUGUUUUUUCAGUGUGUAUGCAUAGGUGGAUGUGUUUUAGUAAACUUUUUAUUGAAAUGUAACAUAUGUAUAGAAAAGUACAAAAUUUUUCACAAACUGACCGCAUCUACGUAAUAGCACUCAGAUUAAAACAAUAACAAAUUAUUACUAAAACUCCAGAGAUCCACUCUGGCCUCUUUCAGGAACUACUUACAUACAAGAAAAAUAACCAUCCUAACAUCAUAAACUAGUUUUCACUAUUUUCUUGUGUGUGGCUUUUUUCACUCCACAUAUGUUUGCAAGACUCCCCCAUGUUGUUAGACAUAAAUGCACUUUGUUCUUGCUCAUUGCUGGUUGAUAUCCCAUUGUAUGGAUGCACUGCAAUUGUUGAUGAGCUUUGUGCAGUUUCCAGUUUGGGGCUGUAAACCUUCCUGCACAUGCCUUUACGUGCUCCUCUGGGGGUAAAUCUGUUGCAUGCAUAUCUAGGAGUGGAAUUGCUGGGUUGUGGGCUAUGCAUAUAUCUACUUGAGUAGAUACUUCUAGUUUCCCAAAGUUGUUCUACCCAUGUACACGCCCACCAGGGAUGCACAGGAGUUCUCAUUGCUCUAUAUUCUUGUCAACACUUGGUAUUGUCAGUCUUUUUGUGUUUUAUGCUUGUUUUUUUUUUUUUAGGGGAAUGACCACCUGGUGGAGGUGGAGUCCCACUUGGGUUGAAGUAUACUCACUCUGGCAGGAAUGAAAUCAGUGGUAAUAGAGCUAGAAUGAAAAAGGCCAAUAAGAAGAGACGCCAUAGAAGUGGAAUACACAGGACUUGCACACAAGGUAGAAAUGAACUUAAGAGGGAGAUGGAGGAAGGUUUCUGUAUGGGGUGGCUGGCUGGAUGAGGGACUUCAGAUUUGAAGCCAGGAGAAAACAUCCCAAUUUUAUAACAUCAUGUUUGAAAUGUAGGACAAUGAGAUGAAGAUGUCCAAUAAACUGUUAGCUAUAUGAGUCUGUUGCUUAGGGAUGAGGUCAAGGCUGUAGACAGAGUUAGGAGUUAUCACAGAGAUGGGGGUUGAGGCUGGGGGGUGGCUGAGAUUUCUCAGGUGGUUGUGUGCAAUGAAAGAGACAAGGGCUGAAGACCAGACGCCUGGCUUAGGGGAUGAGCGGAGGAAGAACAAGAGACAACAUCGCUUCCCUCUGAAAUGCUGGCACGGGCUGCGAAGCAUGAGUCAGACCCUUCUAGCCCCAGCAGCAGCCUCAACAGCCUGGGUCUAUCUCACCAGCCACACAGUUUUCUCCUGAAUGAACUUGCAUCACUAACCUCAGAAGCUGUGUUGCGAAAUCCGCAUCAGAUUGCGUACCUCUGGUGGCGUCCUAGGGACAAUGGGCACUAAAGACUCAUAGCAUCCUGGGGUUGGAGUCCUCCUCUCCGCCUCCACAACAUCCCUGCCAAUCAGUUAUCGAGCACCCCAGGCAGGGAACUCAUAACUUCCCACGGCAUCCCAUUUCCUUGUUGAGCAAGUGAAGAUCUAAGAAAACCUUUUCUUGCAAUCUCACGAUACUGAAAAGUCAAAGAAAAAGAUAACGCUAUAAUUUAAUGGUAAUGAUCCAGGACAGAGUGAAAUGCAAGGACUCUGCAUCCUGGAAAAUCCAUGUCUAUUAAUGUACCCAUCAGCAUCUUCUUGCUGGGGUUAGGGUCAUGGUGUUUGACUCCCCACAGGAAGCUGCAGUGAUUUCAUUACUAUUUGCACACUGGUUGGGAAUGUGCUCAUCCGCUGCAGGCAUUCCUCUGGCUUCAUCAAGCAGUGAGUACAAGGGCCCUGGAAUCUGGCCAGUCUCUCAGGACUGAAGCAGUGCAUGCUACAGCACAAAUCUACCAGGCUGGACACGUGGGAAGAAUGAGCGGCUGUUAGAUGAGAGCGAGCCCACUGCAAGCAAAGAGGGCAGAAUGCCAUUCUGUUCAACAUUUUUUUCUGCGUGUUUAGCAGCAUGUGGUCCUGUGUGGGUCUCUGGAGAAGAAGAAAGAAGAUGGAUCUAAGAAAUGGUUCUCACCCAGCUGGGCACAGUGGCUCACGCCUGUAAUCCCAGCACUUUGGGAGGGAGAGGCAAGUGGCUCACCUGAGGUCAGGAGUUCGAGACUAGCCUGACCAAUAUGGUAAAACCCUGGCUCGAAUAAAAAUACAAAAGAAUGGCCAGGCUCUGUGGCUCAUGCCUGUAAUCCCAGCACUUUGGGAGGCCGAGGCAGGCGGAUCACAAGGUCAGAAGUUCGAGACCAGCCUGGCUAGCAUAGUGAAGCCUCAUCUCUACUAAAAAAUACAAAAAUUAGCCAGGUGUCGGGGCAGGCGCCUAUAGUCCCACCUACUCAAGAGGCUGAAGCAGGAGAAUCGCUUGAACCAGGAAGGUGGUUGCACUGAGCCGAGAUUGCACCACUGCACUCCAGCCUGGGCAACAGAGCGGGACUCCAUCUCAAAAAAAAAAAAAAGAAAAGAAAAGAAAAGAAAGAAAGAAAAAGAAAAGAAAAAAAGAAAGGGUUCCCACCCUUGGGGAGAUUGGUGGCAGAGGCAGAGACAGGCAUGCAAAAGGAAGAUGUAGCUGAAACUUUUUUUUUUCUUUUGAGAUGGAGUCUUGCCCUGUCACCCAGGCUGGAAUGCAAUGGCACAAUCUCAGCUCACUGCAAACUCUGCCUCCCAGGUUCAAGCGAUUCGCCUGCCUCAGCCUCCUGAGUAGCUGAGAUUACAGGUGCGUGCCACGAUUCCUGGCUAAUUUUUGUAUUUUUUAGUAGAGAUGGGGUUUCACCAUGUUGGCCAGGCUGGUCUUGAACUCCCGACCUCAGGUGAUCCACCCGCCUCGGCCUCCCAAAGUGCUGGGAUUACAGGCAUGAGCCACUGCACCUGGCCCUUUUGCUUUAUUUUUAUAAAUUAAGUUGGCAGUGUUUUUUUUUUCACAAGGUAAUAUUUAUAAAGUGUUUUUACAAUAAAAUAGUAUUGGCUGGGCACAGUGGCUCACGCCUGUAAUCCCAGCACUUUGGGAGGCCAAGGCAGGUGGAUCAUAUGAGGCCAGGAGUUCGAGACCAGCCUGGCCAACGUGGUGAAACCCUGUCUCUACUAAAAAUACAAAAAUUAGCCGGGCAUGGUGGUGCAUGCCCGUAAUCCCAGCUACUUGGUAGGCUGAGGCACAAGAAUCACUUGAACUCAGGGGGCAGAGGUUGCAGUGAGUCAAGAUUGCACCACUGCACUCCAGCCUGAGUGACAAAGUGAGACCCUGUCUCAGGAAAAACAAAGAAACAAAGAGAUAAAAAUAAAAUAGUAUUAAAAGGAUUUUUUUAACAAAAGCCUGUGGUCCCUUGGCCUAGCCUACUCUACCUCUGAGUCCUAUUUUCAGGAGGUAGCAACUUCCAACUCUUUAAGCUUCCUCUUAUGUUGGUUACCUGCAAAUUUCUAAGUCAUAAGCUAUGUCAGAGACUAACAGCCCUCCACAAUCCAUGUUCUCUUUUUCCUGGGUGUACAGCUAGAUCUCAUUCUUCAGCUCCUGCUCCUGUCUCCUCUUCCUCCUUCCAGGCCCCCAGCCCCAAAGUUAGAGGCAAUUGAGCUCUAGCCAAUGAAAUGUGAGCAGAAGUGCUAGUGCCACUUCUAAGCCUGGUCCCUAAAACCACCAUGUUCACCCAUGUGCUCCUCUAUGAUCUUUCUUCUUAUUUUUUAUUUAUUUUUUUUUUUGAGGGAGUCUCAUUCUGUCGCUCAGGCUAGAGUGCAGUGGCGCAAUCUCAGUUCACUGCAACCUCCAUCUCACAG